AGUAAUAGAACCGACCUCGUAGGCUCAUCGGGAGGUCCUGAUGGGAGAACCCAUGCAACUUGCCACCACAGAGCCAGGCCCGCGGCGGUUGGCGCCUGAUGGGUAUUAAAGACGAGUCGGGAAAGAAGAGCAGGUUGACAGACUGGAUGCUGCUAUGAUAAUCUGCCUCAGAAAAAUGCCGGACUGUUGUUUGCAAGCUGGUUAAGUGAGCAAAUCUUGGGAAAAUUUCAAGUUUUUAUCAUCAGGAAACUCCCAAGCAUUCUGGAAGCUCUGCAUGCGAGUAAGAACCACUGCUGUUGCUGUAGCUGCCUGAAUCUAUGGCAAAAAGCCAGGAAAAAAAAAUUGCUUCACACCAUGUGCACCGACUCCCAUGGAGCUGGCACCACCAGGGUGUCUGCAGAGCUAUGUCUGACAGUCCUGCCAUUUCCUAACUUCUGCUGUGUGGUCAUCCACCUACCUUUGGGAACCUCCAGUCAUUACCCACAGAGUAGGUCUCAUCGUGGGAACUCUCUCUUGCCUUUCCCAGUGGUUCAUUCUCCAAGUCUGAGUUAUUUGGUCAAGAAAAACCCCAAAUGCUUCAGACAACUCUCGCAAACUUGUCAUAGCUUUUGGUGUUCCAGGCCACAGAAGAGCCCAGCCUAGGACCCCGACUCUGGCAGGGGAUGCUUCUGAACAGUGCUAAGUGGAAGCCCAUGAAAGAACAGACUGUUCUCAAGGCCCGUGGAGGAAAAGAUGUUACAAGCCAUCCCUCCAGAUUCCUGGACAAGCUCUGAGUCCCUGCCCAGAAACCAAAAGGCAGAAUCAGUGUUAUAUUUGUGGUCAGAUGAGCUAACGACAUCCUUCCUGACUUCUUUCUCAGAAUUAGGAAACCCUGAUUAGCAUUUAUAACCUCAUUUUCACAGACUUCACUCAUUAAAACAUCAAGACCUAGGUAACACAUCAGUGAAAUUUCAUAAUGUGGAGGAUAUGUUUAAAAUAUGUAUUUUAAACUGUGGUUAAAAUAUGUUUUUAAAAUGUUUAUGAGUCAAAAUAAUUAAAAUUGCCAUUUAAC
rnacentral:antisense_RNA from 1 species